rnacentral:rRNA from 1 species
CAGUCGCCGCGGGAAUACGUAGGGUGCAAGCGUUAAUCGGAAUUACUGGGCGUAAAGCGUGCGCAGGCGGUUAUAUAAGACAGAUGUGAAAUCCCCGGGCUCAACCUGGGAACUUCAUUUGUGACUGUAUAGCUAGAGUACGGCAGAGGGGGAUGGAAUUCCGCGUGUAGCAGUGAAAUGCGUAUAUAUGCGGAGGAACACCGAUGGCGAAGGCAAUCCCCUGGGCCUGUACUGACGCUCAUGCACGAAAGCGUGGGGAGCAAACAGGAUUAGAUACCCCAGUAGUCCCUGUCUCUUAUAC